GACCGGCGAACGGGCGCGUAACGCGUAUGCAACUUACCUUUUACUGGGGGAUAGCCCGGGGAAACUCGGAUUAAUACCCCAUGGUAUUGUUUGAGGGCAUCUGAAGACAAUUAAAGAUUUAUCGGUAAAAGAUGGGCAUGCGUAAGAUUAGCUAGUUGGUGUGGUAAUGGCACACCAAGGCGACGAUCUUUAGGGGGUCUGAGAGGAUGAUCCCCCACACUGGUACUGAGAUACGGACCAGACUCCUACGGGAGGCAGCAGUAGGGAAUAUUGGUCAAUGGACGAGAGUCUGAACCAGCCAUGCCGCGUGCAGGAAGACGGCCUUCUGGGUUGUAAACUGCUUUUAUACGGGAAGAAAAGGCCCAUGCGUGGGACAUUGCCGGUACCGUACGAAUAAGCACCGGCUAACUCCGUGCCAGCAGCCGCGGUAAUACGGAGGGUGCAAGCGUUGUCCGGAUUUAUUGGGUUUAAAGGGUACGUAGGCGGCUUUUUAAGUCAGUGGUGAAAUCCCGCAGCUUAACUGUGGAACUGCCAUUGAUACUGGAAAGCUUGAGUAUUGUUAAGGUAGGCGGAAUUGAUGGUGUAGCGGUGAAAUGCAUAGAUACCAUCAGGAACACCGAUUGCGAAGGCAGCUUACUGGGCAAUAACUGACGCUAAGGUACGAAAGCGUGGGGAGCGAACCAGGAUUAGAUACCCUGGUAGUCCACGCUGUAAACGAUGAUCACUCGCUGUUGGCGAUACACAGUCAGCGGGCAAGCGAAAGCGUUAAGUGAUCCACCUGGGGAGUACGCUCCGCAGAGUGAAACUCAGAGGAAUUGACGGGGGGUCCGCACAAUCGUUGGAGCACGUGGUGUAAUUCGAUGAUACGCGAGGAACCUUACCUGGGCUAGAACGUGAGCGCUAUUCUGAGAGAUCAGAAGUUCUUCGGACGGUGAAACAAGGUGCUGCAUGGCUGUCGUCAGCUCGUGCCGUGAGGUGUUGGGUUAAGUCCCCGCAACGAGCGCAACCCCUAUUCUUAGUUGCCAGCACAUAAUGGUGGGGACUCUAAGGAGACUGCCUGCGCAAGCAGAGAGGAAGGAGGGGACGAUGUCAAGUCAUCAUGGCCCUUACGCCCAGGGCUACACACGUGCUACAAUGGCCUGUACAGAGGGUAGCGACACAGUGAUGUGAAGCCAAUCUCAAAAAGCAGGUCUCAGUUCGGAUCGUAGUCUGCAACUCGACUACGUGAAGCUGGAAUCGCUAGUAAUCGCAUAUCAGCAAUGAUGCGGUGAAUACGUUCCCGGACCUUGUACACACCGCCCGUCAAGCCAUGGGAGUUGGGUAUGCCUGAAGACGGU
rnacentral:rRNA from 1 species